GUGCCAGCCGCCGCGGUAAUACCGGCAGCCCGAGUGAUGGCCGAUAUUAUUGGGCCUAAAGCGUCCGUAGCCGGCCGGGCAAGUCCGUUGGGAAAUCCACGCGCUCAACGCGUGGGCGUCCAGCGGAAACUGUUCGGCUUGGGGCCGGAGGACUCGAGGGGUACGUCCGGGGUAGGAGUGAAAUCCCGUAAUCCUGGACGGACCACCGGUGGCGAAAGCGCCUCGAGAGGACGGACCCGACGGUGAGGGACGAAAGCCAGGGUCUCGAACCGGAUUAGAUACCCCUGUAGUCC
rnacentral:rRNA from 1 species